ensembl:lncRNA
GGACAGGUGAUAAGAUGGAGCCAGCUAGGAAGAGGAGGACUUCCUCUGUGAUUAGAUCACUCCUAAUAAGGUGAGGUGUUUAUUGUGCUCCGAGGAGUUUGGGUGCAAUAACAGCACCUCCUCCAUGCUGAGGCCUCACCGUGCCUUGCAUGAGAAUAAGGAGGAAACUGGAGCUUCACCCAGCCAAGAGCUGGAUGAAGCCUCGUCUCCAUGACAGCGAAGGACACGCAGCCCUUCAGUAUUGUGGAUGAUUCAGGGCAUUUGUGUCCAAACUGGAUCCUCAUCAUGUUCUCCCUACAAGGCAGGCUCUGCAGGCCGUGGUGGAGGCUGAGUAGGAGUCAGCUAAGGAGAAGGCUAAAGUGGAAAAGGUGG